rnacentral:RNase_P_RNA from 1 species
AAUUUUGAGCAGUCGCGGUUUGAUUUUUAUAAUUGAGCUGAGGAAAGUCCACGCACGCACAAGCUGAGAUGCUUGUAGUGCUCGUAUUUAGUCCAAUAAACUAAAGAAUUUUUAUAAUUACGGCGAAAAAAGUGCUAAGUUUUUUUAAUAUGCAUGAAUAUUCUGAAAAGUGCCACAGUGACGUAGCAGUAGUGGAAACAUUAUUGGUGGAACGAGGUAAACCCUGCGAGCGUGCAACCCAAAUUUGGUGGGGGCGUCUUAACCUAAGAAAAUGAACUAAAGGUUAGAUUACUAUGUUGAUAGUAAAGAUAGAUGGCUGCUGAAGGUAAUUUUGCCAAAAUUACCCGUACAGAACGUGGCUUAUAGAA